rnacentral:rRNA from 1 species
GAGUUUGAUCAUGGCUCAGGAUAAACGUUGGCGGUGCGCCUUAUGCAUGCAAGUCGAACGAGGUUAUGGCUUUCGGGCUAUAGCCUAGUGGCGAACGGCUGAGUAACAUGUAAGCAACCUGCCUUGUAGUGGGGAAUAACUUGUCGAAAGGCAAGCUAAUACCGCAUGUGGUAAUCAAGUGAUGCUUGGUUACUAAAGCUGCAAAGCGCUACGAGAGGGGCUUGCAGCCGAUUAGCUAGUUGGUAGGGUAAUAGCCUACCAAGGCGACGAUGGUUAGCUGGUCCGAGAGGAUGAUCAGCCACACUGGAAUUGAGAUACGGUCCAGACUCCUACGGGAGGCAGCAGUGAGGGAUUUUGCGCAAUGGGGGAAACCCUGACGCAGCAACGCCGCGUGAGUGAGGAAGGCCUUCGGGUCGUAAAGCUCUGUCAGAUGGGAAGAAAUGCGGGAAUGUCAAUAGCUUUCCCGCUUGACGGUACCAUCAGAGGAAGCACCGGCUAACUCCGUGCCAGCAGCCGCGGUAAUACG